CCGUGGACCUCUGCGCGCUGGUAUUUAAGUGUCUCGCGGUGACGCUUCGGUCUCAUUUUUCCCGGGCUUUCGGGUUUGGGCGCGCAUCGAACUCUGAAGGGUCGGGAAGGCCUGUCGUUGGAAUGGGGUUGAGUUCCAGGGAGUGUACAGGCUGGAGGAUGGGACAAGACCUAUCUCUGUAUAGAUCAAGCACGGUGUUGGUGUUCCAGCUCAUCACCAAUCCUAAGAAAUUCAAGUGCCUCCCAGGAUGAAUACAGGUUGUCUUGAUGGUGAUACAUUCAUCUGUCUUAAGAUCCCUGCUGAUCUGCUCAGGGUCAAACUCCUGGAAAGAGUUGAGAGUGGGGCACCUUGUUCCUGCAUCCUCAAAGGAGCAUCUUGUUCCUCUAUUUAAGCUUCCAGAGUUAAAAGAUCCAUCUUGUCUGGAGCCUGAGGAUGAUUGGAGGUAAAUCUGUUUAUCUAUGGCUAUGUAAAGUUUGCCAGUUUUUGUGUGGCACUUUGGAUAGUUGUGCAGGUAUUACUUAAUCCAAAGUCUGCCUUUGGCCAUUUGUGAACCACCUGAAACAGAUUUCUGCUCACAUGAUGAGUUUGAUACCGCCCCAGUCUGAUCAAUAUGACUGAAAGGUAUUUUCUGAGCUGUGAGUUUGCCUUAGACUGGGAAGUUAGUCUUUUUAUAAAAUGUUUGUUGAGACCUACACAGCCUAUUAGGGUGUCCCAUUCCUCUGGGAAUGGUUGACUUAGUUCCCAAUCUCUGUUUUGCAGGUGAAAGGUGUAAGCCAUACUCUGCUCAACUCCAGUCUGAAACUGAGGUUUGAAGAAAGAACACGUACUUAAUACAAUGCUAAGAAUCCAACUCUUGGAGGACAUCAGAAGUGGAAUUUUCUUAUACAACCUACCUAUUCAAAUUAGCAUAUAGUCUUUCUAAAUAAAUAAAGGGAUUUUUUUGUAAACCUUCA